rnacentral:rRNA from 1 species
UACGAAGGGGGCUAGCGUUGCUCGGAAUCACUGGGCGUAAAGGGCGCGUAGGCGGCCGAUUAAGUCGGGGGUGAAAGCCUGUGGCUCAACCACAGAAUUGCCUUCGAUACUGGUUGGCUUGAGACCGGAAGAGGACAGCGGAACUGCGAGUGUAGAGGUGAAAUUCGUAGAUAUUCGCAAAAACACCAGUGGCGAAGGCGGCUGUCUGGUCCGGUUCUGACGCUGAGGCGCGAAAGCGUGGGGAGCAAACAGG